CUAACAUGUGCGCGAGUCAUGGGGAUUCUACGAACCCAAAGGCCGCAGUGAAAGUAAAGGCCCUGCUUCUCGUAGGCUGAGGUGGGAUCUCGUGCAUCGCGAUUGGCCGAGCGCCGCCACACCGCCCGUCCUAUCUGUCUCUGUCAGUGGGGCGGCGCAAGAGCGUACACGUUGGGACCCGAAAGAUGGUGAACUAUGCUUGCGCAGCUCGAAGUCAGUUGGAAACACUGAUGGAGGAGCGCAGCGUUUCUGACGUGCAAAUCGAUCGUCAAACGUGAGUAUAUAGGGGCGAAAGACUAAUCGAACCAUCUAGUAGCUGG
rnacentral:ncRNA from 1 species